UACGAAGGGUGCAAGCGUUACUCGGAAUUACUGGGCGUAAAGCGUGUGUAGGCGGUUUGUUAAGUCCGUUGUGAAAGCCCUGGGCUCAACCUGGGAAUUGCAGUGGAUACUGGCGAGCUAGGGUGCGGUAGAGGAUGGUGGGAUUCCCGGUGUAGUGGUGAAAUGCGUAGAGAUCGGGAGGAACACCCGUGGCGAAGGCGGCCACCUGGGCCGACCCUGACGCUGAGGCGCGAAGGCGUGGGGAGCGAACGGG
rnacentral:rRNA from 1 species